rnacentral:rRNA from 1 species
UGGGGAAUAUUGCACAAUGGAGGGAACUCUGAUGCAGCGACGCCGCGUGAGUGAUGAAGGAAUUCGUUUCGUAAAACUCUGUUCUAUGGGAAGAAAAGGACUGUACCAUAGGAGAAAGCUCCGGCUAAAUACGUGCCAGCAGCCGCGGUAACACGUAUGGAGCGAGCGUUGUCCGGAAUUAUUGGGCGUAAAGGGUGCGCAGGCGGCUUUACAAGUUGGAUGUGAAAUAUUGUGGCUCAACCACAAACGUGCAUCCAAAACUGCAAAGCUUGAGUUAAGGAGAGGUAAGUGGAAUUCCUGGUGUAGCGGUGGAAUGCGUAGAUAUCAGGAGGAAUACCGGUGGCGAAGGCGACUUACUGGACUUAAACUGACGCUCAGGCACGAAAGCGUGGGGAGCAAACAGG